GAUGAAUGCUGGCGGCGCGCCUAACACAUGCAAGUCGAGCGGUAACAUGGACUUCGGUCUGAUGACGAGCGGCGGACGGCUGAGUAACGCGUGGGAACAUGCCCCAAAGUGAGGAAUAACUGCCCGAAAGGGUAGCUAAUGCCGCAUAUGAUCUUAGGAUUAAAGGAUUUAUCCGCUUUGGGAGUGGCCUGCGUACGAUUAGGUAGUUGGUGAGGUAAUGGCUCACCAAGCCGACGAUCGUUAGCUGGUCUGAGAGGAUGACCAGCCAGACUGGAACUGAGACACGGUCCAGACUCCUACGGGAGGCAGCAGUGAGGAAUAUUUCACAAUGGGCGAAAGCCUGAUGGAGCAACGCCGCGUGCAGGAUGAAGGCCUUCGGGUCGUAAACUGCUUUUAUAAGUGAAGAAUAUGACGGUAACUUAUGAAUAAGCACCGGCUAACUACGUG
rnacentral:rRNA from 1 species